AGCUUUGUGCCUUGGCAGUAUCAUAGUCAAUGAGGUUUAUCCAAGGUGCAAUUAUUGCUAAUUGAAAAAAAAGAUGAGUCUGCACCUAGAAAAAUAAUAGUUUGAAAAAUCUCUGGACUCUCUCUAAAGAG
rnacentral:snRNA from 1 species